rnacentral:lncRNA from 1 species
UUGAUAGAGAAGCAAGUUGCUCCGAGAUGGUUUGAAGAGACGCAUCCGGUUGAGCACGAGGACGACGAGCUUGAGUUGGAGGAGGAGGAAGAUGUUGUCGAUCAUGGCCAUGGAAAGAAGUUUCUUGUAUUUCCUAAUGUUUGGUACGAUUUUUCUUGGUGCCAACAUUGGUGUUGAUUUGAGACGCUUCACGAAGAUGCAUUAUAAGAAAUGCAUAUGGAAGAGGUUUGUCACAUCCUAUUGAAUCAAGCAUAUGUGUAAGAAUAAGUUUACACCAAUUUAUGCGUGCAUUGGAAAUAAUAGCAUGCAUAAUUUUUGCGUCUUCACGGCC